AUUUGAGGAUAUUUAAAUGCGAAAAAAAGAGUGGAGAAAAAAACGGCCAAGGGGAAAAGGGCGAAGGAAAAAUAAAGCUUUAUUUUUCCUUCGCCGUUUUCCCCUUCGCCGUUUUUUUCCUUCGCCGUUUUAUCUCCGCUUUUUUUCGCAUUCAUUUCUUAAAAUAUAUAUCCUCAAAUAAAAUUUAAAAAAUAAAGCGACUGCU
rnacentral:sRNA from 1 species